UACGUAGGCAGCGAGCGUUGUUCGGAGUUACUGGGCGUAAAGCGCGCGUAGGCGGCUCGUUAAGUGUGGAGUGAAAUGCCGGGGCUCAACCCCGGAACUGCUUUACAUACUGGCGAGCUUGAGGGAUGCAGAGGUUUGUGGAAUUCCUGGUGUAACGGUGAAAUGUGUUGAUAUCAGGAGGAACACCCAUGGCGAAGGCAGCAACUGGGCAUCAUCUGACGCUGAGGCGCGAAAGCGUGGGUGACAGCAA
rnacentral:rRNA from 1 species